CCCAAAUUCUUGCAACCAUUUGUGAAUCAGUUUGGAACAGAUAGGGAAAUUGUGAGGAGGAAGGAGUAAACUGUAAAGCAAAAGUUCACAUGAAGUGAAAGGAUGUAGUGUUCCCUGCCUAAUUUUUAGUGACUUUAGGCCUGAAUAGCAGCCCAGUGGUACCUGCCUGCUGUUCAUUGUGAGUUAAAGCAUCUGCCCGAAGAAGCGCGCAAUGUCAGAGCUGGAAGGACCACAGCGAGUGCAUGCCAUCUCACUCUCAGCACUUUCAGGGAAUCUGAGGCCCAGAAAGGAAGGAGAUUUUCCAAGCCCACCGUCGAGUCUGUGGCAGGGUCUCAGCAAGAAGGGAGGUCUCCUAAUUCUGGGUCCAGGACUCUCCCUUCUCUCCCACUCACUAUCCAGCCUAUGCAGGGGGGGCUCUCCGUGCAGGGGGUUUAAACCAACAGUUCCCAGACAAACACCUGAGAUCGCCUAUAGGUGCCUGUUGACCCCAGUAAUGACUAUGGAGUUCUCCCUGUUACACUCUUUUCCCAUUCUUGACUUUUCCUCCUUAGAAUGGAAAUUAAAUAAUUCUUUGUAUGAAUAUCUAUUUAACUUUGUCUUCUUCUUUACAGUGUAUGCUUCAUGAGUGCAGCUCUCAUCUCUAAACCCUGGAAAUGGCACAGUUCUGGGCACAUAGUGCAACCCCAUAGGUGUUUCUCACAUGAAGGAUGAGUACAGGAAUAAAUAAAUGGACAUCUUGACCCAGCAAUAAAUGGCUGAGGGAAAAGACCCAAAUAUUAAAGGGACAAAUAAUACUCCUACAAGGGACACUUCUAUGAUUUGAAGGAAAGAAAAAUAGAAAAAUAAAGGUCUGUCUUGAAGGAGGAAAGUUCAAACAGCAUUUCCUGGACACCCAUUUAUUUUAGAACUUGCGUUAAACCCUAAGAGACAAGGAUAAGCAGACCCAGGCCUUGCCUGCCCUCUAGGACCUCAGAGCCAAUAAUCAAUCAACCGUCACACACAUUAGGAGAAGAGGCUCCUUAUCAGACCCAACUGUGCAACCUGUAUGCCAGUACAGUAUGGAGACCGCCACUACCAGGACUGAAAACACCAAGCCAGGGCAUCCCCUCGGAUGCUUACUCCUACUUAGAGCUUGUGAAUGUACUAUCCAACAUCUGGCCCCAGCAAAUUUUGCAUCUCAGAAUUUCUCCAC
rnacentral:lncRNA from 1 species